CUUAUAGCUAAGUUAUUAGUCCUAAAAAUAUUUCACGAUACGAGCGAUUGGCAAACUAACACAUAAAAACCCAUCCCCAUAUAGAGAAAAAUCAGCGUGUUGUUAUUAUUAAACCAAAAUUGGUUAAAAUACGCCAAGCGUGAAAUUUUAUGUCAAGAGCACCCAAAAAUGAGGAAAGGAAACGCAGCGUGCAACAAGAGCUGUCAAACGGGCCACGCGGAACAGAUCCGCCAUUUCGUUCCUAGCACCGUCGUGAACAGACGGAAAAAGUGCCGCUAAAAAAAUCGGGAAGUGGGGUUGCGUUCGCGGAUUUGCCGGAAAAAGCAGAAAUCCACUCCAGAGCGCGUGCCAGACGAGCCGGAAGGUACACCUUCAAUAGAUUUGGCCGAAGAAAAGAAAAAGAAACCUAUCGACGAGACAAGCCGGCCAGAAGAGGUGGACAGGAAAAAACAAAAAGAGCCGCACAACCACGCUGCGUAAGUCGUUCGCACUAGACCCGU